AUUGAACGCUGGCGGCAGGCCUAACACAUGCAAGUCGAGCGGAGCGGCAGAGGGGUGAGGAAGGGUUAGGAAUCGGACAGGUAGUGGGGGAGAACGACAGGAAACGGGCGCUAAUACAGCAUACUAUCAGCAGAGCAUGUGGCGGAUUAGCUCGUUGGUGGGGUAAAGGCCUACCAAGGCGACGAUCCGUAACUGGUCUGAGAGGAGGAUCAGCCAAACUGGAACUGAGACACGGUCCAGACUCCUACGGGAGGCAGCAGUGGGGAAUAUUGGACAAUGGGCGAAAGCCUGAUCCAGCCAUGCCGCGUGUGUGAAGAAGGUCUUCGGAUUGUAAAGCACUUUAAGUUGGGAGGCGUUACUAACAGAAUAAGCACCGGCUAACUUCGUGCCAGCAGCCGCGGUAAUAC
rnacentral:rRNA from 1 species